ACAUACGACCAUACCAUGUGGAAAACUCGGGAUCCCGUCCGCUCUCCCCUAGAUAAGCCACAUAGGGCCGGAUUAGUAGUUGGGUCGGUGACGACCAGCGAAUCCCUGGUGUUGUAUGU
rnacentral:rRNA from 1 species